GACGACGCUGGCGGCGUGCCUAAUACAUGCAAGUAGGACGAGUUGCGAACGGGUGAGUAACGCGUGGUAACCUACCUAUUAGAGGGGGAUAACUAUUGGAAACGAUAGCUAAUACCGCAUACUAGAAGAUGGACCUUCGGUGUAUUAGCUAGUAGGUAGGGUAAUGGCCUACCUAGGCGACGUUACAUAGCCGACCUGAGAGGGUGAUCGGCCACACUGGGACUGAGAAACGGUCCAGACUCCUACGGGAGGCAGCAGUGGGGAAUAUUGCACAAUGGGCGCAAGCCUGAUGCAGCCAUGCCGCGUGUAUGAAGAAGGCCUUCGGGUUGUAAAGUACUUUCAGCGGGGAGGCGUUACCCGCAGAAGAAGCACCGGCUAACUCCGUGCCAGGCGCCGCGGUAAUUC
rnacentral:rRNA from 1 species